GCAAGUCGAGCGGACAGAUGGGAGCUUGCUCCCUGAUGUUAGCGGCGGACGGGUGAGUAACACGUGGGUAACCUGCCUGUAAGACUGGGAUAACUCCGGGAAACCGGGGCUAAUACCGGAUGGUUGUCUGAACCGCAUGGUUCAGACAUAAAAGGUGGCUUCGGCUACCACUUACAGAUGGACCCGCGGCGCAUUAGCUAGUUGGUGGGGUAACGGCUCACCAAGGCGACGAUGCGUAGCCGACCUGAGAGGGUGAUCGGCCACACUGGGACUGAGACACGGCCCAGACUCCUACGGGAGGCAGCAGUAGGGAAUCUUCCGCAAUGGACGAAAGU
rnacentral:rRNA from 1 species